GCUUAGACGAGUUUGCAGUUUUGUGAGAGGUGUGUUGGCGAAGAUACGGUGCAGAGAGGUGGAAGCAGAAGUUACUGUAUCAGCAGAGACCGUUGACUUUGAUCCUUGUGUUAUCCAGUGAGAAGAUUUUCAGCUACAUAUGGCGGUAACCUGCAGCUGUGAAAAGAAGGUUCAGCGACAUAUGGUGGAAACAAGAGAACAGACAGUUCAACUGUGUAUGGUGGUAACCGUCGAAAAGAUAUUUCAGCUACAUAUGGUGGUAACCUGGGAGAAGAAAGAAGGUCCAGUUGCAUAUGGUGGUAAAGAGUGAAAAGACAAUUCAAGUAUGUAUGGUGGUAAUGGUAACCAGUGGAAAGGUAUUUUAUCUAUGUAUGGUAGUAGCAAGUGACAAUGUAUUUCAGUUAUGUACACGGAGAACUGGUGAAAAGAUAGUUCAGCUAUAUACGGUGGUAAGCAGAGAGAAGAUGCUGCACUUAUGUACGGUGGUAGCAAGUGACAAAUUGUGUACAUGGGUGAGCAAUGAAGAAGACAGUUCAGCUACAUAUGGUGGUAAGCAGAGUGAAGAUAGUG
rnacentral:lncRNA from 1 species